rnacentral:rRNA from 1 species
GAUGAACGCUGGCGGCGUGCUUAACACAUGCAGGUCGAACGAAGCACUUUAUUUGAUUUCCUUCGGGACUGAUUAUUUUGUGACUGAGUGGCGGACGGGUGAGUAACGCGUGGGUAACCUGCCUUGUACAGGGGGAUAACAGUUGGAAACGGCUGCUAAUACCGCAUAAGCGCACGGCAUCGCAUGAUGCAGUGUGAAAAACUCCGGUGGUAUAAGAUGGACCCGCGUUGGAUUAGCUAGUUGGUGAGGUAACGGCCCACCAAGGCGACGAUCCAUAGCCGACCUGAGAGGGUGACCGGCCACAUUGGGACUGAGACACGGCCCAAACUCCUACGGGAGGCAGCAGUGGGGAAUAUUGCACAAUGGGCGAAAGCCUGAUGCAGCGACGCCGCGUGAGCGAAGAAGUAUUUCGGUAUGUAAAGCUCUAUCAGCAGGGAAGAUAAUGACGGUACCUGACGAAGAAGCACCGGCUAAAUACGUG